AUGGCCCCCUUGCGGGGGGCGGUCACCCAUCACCCGCAUCCCCGUGUGUCACGGUGUUGUCGCACACCAUUAACGCAUCAACACGGAAAAGGAAAUGUAAGCAGUGUUUGCUGUCCAAAGUUCACGUCAACAACUCCUUAUUAUGAAGGCACUUCUGAGCCUUUCCUCCUGCAUCUAGGAGCUGCCAGCAACCCAGUUACAGGAGAGAAAAUAACCCGACACCUCCUGCAACCCAUGGAGUCCUCUUGUUGGGACAAGGUCCCCUCAGGAGAGAGGAGCCCCCAGCAGGGUCAACACUGGAGGGUCAGGGACCACGGAGCCCGGGGCUGUGGACCACACCAGCCCAAAGCCACUGCAUGCCCCAGACCGGGGCUGUGGACCACACCAGCCCAUGGCCACUGCAUGCCCCAGACCAACACGAGAACAGUGAAGACCAACAACAUCUUCGUCUAUGGCUGGCCCAAGAGCAGCCUUGACAGUCACGUGCUGGGGACAUCGAGCUGCCCCUCCUCCGCCCACAGCCUCAGGCCACCUGUCUCAUCUGUGACUGAGAAACAGAGCUGCAGCUGGAGGCGGGAGGCAGGACACGCUGGGAUCUACCCACGGUCAGGCCGAGCUGCUCCGAUCACUCAAGCUUCACUUUCAUCACUCGCUCUACCAAAUAAACUAGAAUAAAAUACACCGCGUCCUCCUCUCCACACACUCCCAAGCCUCCCAUCCCACUUCCUGGCGCUGACCCCAUAAAAACACUUUGUGCAUCUUUCCAGGUAUUUUCUAUCCUUCUCAAGCACAGAACCACAUUCAGAGUGAAUUUUUUUUUUUUUUUUAACAGAAAUGGCACCAGGGCAGAUGAUGAUUUUUUGGUACCAUUUCUUUACUUUCUUGGGCAUUUUCCACACCAGGACAGAUGGGCUCUGCUCUCCUUCCUCCCCGCCCAAAGCUGCCGCACAGCAGCCACACACAGAGCCGUAAACCCUCGCAAGACUGUGGGUGUCUCGGGGUGCCCCAUGUCCCCAAAGACCAAGGGGUCACAGAUCCACACUGUCCAACAACACUUCAGACAUGGCCUCGAGCCUGGGAACCCUGUUGGCCAGCCCAGGCCAGCAACAGAAUAGAGGUGUGAGAGGUAACAUUUGCACUUCUUAAAAAAAAAAAAAAAAAAGGCAGAUAUUCAGUGCCACAUUUAAAAUGGUCAUGGCGGCCAGGCACAGUGGCUCAUGUGUGUAAUGCCAGCACUUUGGGAGGCCAAGCUUGGCAGAUCACUUGAAGUCAGGAGUUCAAGACCAGCCUGGCCAGCACGGUGAGACCCCUGUCUCUAUUAAAAAUACAAAAAUCAGCUGGGCAUGGUGGCAGGCACCUGUAAUCCCAGCUACUUGGGAGGCUGAGACACAAGAUUCUCUGAACUCUGGAAGCAGAGGUUACAGUGAGCUGAGAUUAUGCCACUGCACUCCAGCCUGGGUGACAGAGCAAGACUCUGUCUCAAAAAUAAAAAUAAUAAAUAAUAACAAAAGAAAAAAUAUGUAUGCAUUCCUAGUCCCUUGGAGCUGCAGCAACAAAGCUGGUGAUAUAUUUUGGGUGUUUCUAAUCAAUGUUUUCCAUGAGCUACACGGCAAGUUUCAACCUUCACCCUGCUACAGAAAUAAUCUAUUACAAAUUAAAACAAGAGCCAUAACUCUGUCUCCUACUAAAAUAUUCUAAUUGAGACAUGUUAACAGAAUACAUUUCUUUGGGUGAGAAAGUAUCCACCAGGGUGGGGAACAGACGGCCCACCGAUUGUGCUGUGGCCCUGACCACCAAGGACUCACGAAUCAUCCACAGCAAGGCUGGUGACUCAAAAAGAACACUAAAUUGCUCUUUGACAUUAAUUCUUAAACCUUGAGAAACCAAAGUUCUCUUUGUAACAGACUUGAAAAAGGAUGAAGUCAGAAGUAGCUCAGCAGAGAUGCACCAACUCUUACCUGGGACAGACACCCCUUGCUAAUCACGUCUGGAUUAACGGAUGUGCUAAAAGCAUCUCUUCCAACAGAGACACAGACUGCAAACAGGAAUGCCAUGAACACCUUCCCCAGAUAACCCAGUCCUGACCCAUCCACCCCUCAGGAGGUCCCCAGACAAGUCCAAUAAGAAAAUGACCCCACAGCAGAUUCAGGUGCAGGCAGUGAGGGUAGUGGCGUCAGGGAAUUCCGCCGUAAACCUUGACAGCACGCAGGGAGGUAUACCCAGCUGGACAGGUGAAGUCAGAAGUACAGGAUGAUCUGGCCAUUCCAAAUAUGCAGGGCAUUCCAAUUUUGUUAAAAUGAAACCCAGCCUUUGAAAAGGCCUGGACUUCCCACAAUGUGUGGUAUUUAUAGUGUGGAGGGCACUGUAGAGAAGUUAUCAGAGGGUUCAUGACGGCAAGAUCCACGGAGGCUCUGCCAUGUGCCAGGCAUGAGACAAC
rnacentral:lncRNA from 10 species